UGGGGAAUUUUGGACAAUGGGCGAAAGCCUGAUCCAGCAAUGCCGCGUGUGUGAAGAAGGCCUUCGGGUUGUAAAGCACUUUUGUCCGGAAAGAAAUCCUUGGCUCUAAUACAGUCGGGGGAUGACGGUACCGGAAGAAUAAGCACCGGCUAACUACGUGCCAGCAGCCGCGGUAAUACGUAGGGUGCAAGCGUUAAUCGGAAUUACUGGGCGUAAAGCGUGCGCAGGCGGUUUGCUAAGACCGAUGUGAAAUCCCCGGGCUCAACCUGGGAACUGCAUUGGUGACUGGCAGGCUAGAGUAUGGCAGAGGGGGGUAGAAUUCCACGUGUAGCAGUGAAAUGCGUAGAGAUGUGGAGGAAUACCGAUGGCGAAGGCAGCCCCCUGGGCCAAAUACUGACGCUCAUGCACGAAAGCGUGGGGAGCAAACAGGAUUAGAUACCCUGGUAGUCCACGCCCUAAACGAUGUCAACUAGUUGUUGGGGAUUCAUUUCCUAGUAACGUAGCUAACGCGUGAAGUUGACCGCCUGGGGAGUACGGUCGCAAGAUUAAAACUCAAUGAAUUGACGGGGUCAUAGCUGUUCC
rnacentral:rRNA from 1 species